CAAGACAUCAGCUGUACUGUGGAACACCUUGGAAAGACUACGACUAAAUCACUUCCAGUUCCAGUUCCAUCCAGGUCACCAACUGUCAGCUUGGUGCCAGUAAUCACCUCUGAAAGCUGGAGAAUGAUGUGUGUCAUUGAAAACUUUUCCCCCAAAAACCUGUCGGUAACAUGGAAAGAGGGUGAGACUGUAAUUGAAAAGAAGGAACCAGAGUUGGUUCAGAAAGACUCCAGAGGUUACUGGAAAGCGCAGAGUUUUCUGAGCCUAAAUAAAACUGCACAGGACAAGAAUCUUCACUACACGUGUGAAGUGUCUCAUUCUGGCAAGACCUUCAGUCAAACAAGACAAUUGAAAGUCCACUUCUCAGUAGAGCUAACUCCCCCAUCAUCAAGAGAUAUUUUCCUCAACAAUAAAGCAGUUCUGGAGUGCGUCACCAUGGGAACAGACUCAGCAGCUGUGAAUGAUGCUAAAGUAACAUGGAAGGUGGGAGGAGGAGAUCAGAGUAGCAGAGCUGAACAAGGCACCCUUAAAGCCCUCGAUGGUCAGUUUAGUAAGGUCAGCAAACUGGAGGUGGACAUGUCUGACUGGUUCUCUGGAAAAGAGGUUGAGUGCCUCGUGUAUGACAAGACUGAGGGCAAAAACAUUGUGGGAAAGAAGAAAAUAAAGCAAGGUGGAGCGGCUCCUGAAGUGUUUAUCUACACCCUCCCUGAAGCCAAAGACCCAAACCAUGUUUCUCUGGUGUGUGAGGUCAGGGGCUCUUCUCUUGGUGAUGUGUAUAUCAUGUGGCAGGUUGGUGGAGGACAGUACCAGGAGGGAAAGACAGCCCUCCUGAAACAAGAUGAUGGCAACAUGUCACUUGUCAGUGAGCCUGAGGUACCAGAUGAAGUGGUGGCCUUGCACUGCACUCAGAGUGAGGAUGAGGAGGGGGACGAGUACACCAGCCUGUGGUCCACUGCCACCUCCUUCAUAUUCCUCUUCCUCUUCUCUCUCGUCUACAGUGCUAUCCUCAGCCUUGCCAAGUGUGUGGGGGCGAAGAUGGAGAGAAAGGGCGGUAAGAAACCCCUGCAGUUCAAAAGAGGCCCUGAAGGCAUCUUAGAAGAGAGCCUGGUAGAGAAUGGGUGA